UCCAGUUUAUCCUGCUGGCGGUUGCGGCUAUCUGGCUUGCACUUAGACAUGCAAGUUUCUUGAAAGAGAGCGAACUGCUCAGUAACACGUAGAUAAUCUGCCCUAUAGCCAGUAAUAGCUUCGGGAAACUGAAGGUAAGGACUGAUAGAAGAUGGUUUUUGGAAUAAGCUAUCUCUUAAUUUCGUGCUGUAGGAUGAGUCUGCGGCUGAUUAGGCUGUUGGCGGGGUAAUGGCCCACCAAACCGUUGAUCAGUAAGGGCCCUUAGCGGGAAACCCUGAGAGGGAGUCUGAGACACUACUCCCAGCCCUACGGGGUGCAGCAGUUAGGGAUUUUUUGCGAUGCGCGCAAGCGUGACAGAGCGAGCCAGAGUGAUUUUCCUACAUGGAAAAUCUUUUGCCAGCUGUAAAAAGGCUGGCGAAUAAGGACUGGGCAAGACCGGUGCCAGCCGCCGCGGUAAUCCCGGCGGUCCGAGUCGCAACCACAAUUAUUGGGUCUAAAACAUCCGUAGCUUGUUCUGUAAGUCUAUUGUGAAAUUCUGUCUCUUAAGGGCAGAGAUUGCAAUGGAUACUGCAGAGCUAGAGACUGGGGGACGUAACGAGUACAUCUGAGGUAGUGGUAAAAUACGUUAAUCUUAGGUGGACUAACACCAGCGAAGGCACGUUACGAUAACAGUUCUGACAGUGAGGGAUGAAGGCUAGGGGCGCAAAAUGGAUAGAUACCCAUGUAGUCCUAGCAGUAAACACUGCGCACUAAACCUUGUGACCUCCUCGAGAGGUUGCAGGGCUGCAGCGAAGGCGAAGAGUGCGCUACCUGGGAAGUAUAGCCGCAAGGCCGAAACUUAAAGGAAUUGGCGGGGGAGCACUACAACGGGUGACGCGUGCGGUUCAAUUAGAUUCUACACCGUGAACCUCACCAGGACCGACGGCAGAAUGAAGGUCAGUCUAAAGGGCUUACCUGACACGCCGAGCGGAGUUGCAUGGCCGACGUCAGCCUGUGUCGUGAGAUGACCUGUUAAAUCAGGUACAGGCGAGACCCGCGUGCAUAGUUGCUAUCUGGAUAAGAUGCACUCUAUGCAGACUGCUUGCGCAAGCAAGAGGAAGGUGCGGGCUACGUUAGGUGAGUACGGCCCUAAUGCCCUGGGCUACACGCGCGCGGCAAUGCUGCAUACAGUGAGAUGCAACUCUGAAAAGAGAAGCUAAUCCCAUAAAAUGCAGCUCAGUUUAGAUUGAGGCUUGCAACCCAGCCUCAUGACACCGGAAUCCGUAGUAAUCGUUCUUUAUCAAAGAACGGUGAAUAAGUCCCUGCUCCUUGCACACACCGCCCGUCAAACCAACCGAGUUUUGCAUCGGUGAGGCUCUUCGGGGACGAGCCUUUGUAAGACAAGGUAGGUUAAGUCGACACAAGGUA
rnacentral:rRNA from 1 species